UACGUAGGCAGCGAGCGUUGUUCGGAGUUACUGGGCGUAGAGGGUGUGUAGGCGGUUCUUUAAGUUUGGUGUGAAAUCUCCCGGCUUAACCGGGAGGGUGCGCCGAAUACUGAGGGAUUAGAGUACGGGAGAGGAAAGUGGAAUUCCUGGUGUAGCGGUGAAAUGCGUAGAUAUCAGGAGGAACACCCGUGGCGAAAGCGGCUCUCUGGGACGGUACUGACGCUGAGACGCGAAAGCGUGGGGAGCGAACAGG
rnacentral:rRNA from 1 species